rnacentral:rRNA from 1 species
UACGUAGGGGGCUAGCGUUGUCCGGAAUCAUUGGGCGUAAAGAGCGUGUAGGCGGUCCGGUAAGUCCGCUGUGAAAGUCGGGGGCUCAACCCUCGAAUGCCGGUGGAUACUGUCGGGCUAGAGUGCGGAAGAGGCGAGUGGAAUUCCUGGUGUAGCGGUGAAAUGCGCAGAUAUCAGGAGGAACACCUAUUGCGAAGGCAGCUCGCUGGGACGUAACUGACGCUGAGACGCGAAAGCCAGGGGAGCGAACGGG